AGCUACGGCCAUACAAUGCUGAAAAUACCGGAUCCCGUCCGAUCUCCGCAGUCAAGCAGCAUCUGGACCAGUCAGUACACGACUAUGGUGGGGGACCACAUGGGAAUACUGGUUGCUGUAGUUU
rnacentral:rRNA from 1 species